rnacentral:rRNA from 1 species
AGCUAUGGCUGUCGUCAGCUCGUGUCGUGAGAUGUUGGGUUAAGUCCCGCAACGAGCGCAACCCUCGCCUUUAGUUGCCAGCAUUUAGUUGGGCACUCUAAGGGGACUGCCGGUGAUAAGCCGAGAGGAAGGUGGGGAUGACGUCAAGUCCUCAUGGCCCUUACGGGNUGGGCUACACACGUGCUNCAAUGGUGGUGACAGUGGGCAGCGAGCACGCGAGUGUGAGCUAAUCUCCAAAAGCCAUCUCAGUUCGGAUUGCANUNUGCAACUCGAGUGCAUGAAGUUGGAAUCGCUAGUAAUCGCGGAUCAGCAUGCCGCGGUAAUAC